UUAUGGCCAUAUCACAUUGAAACAUUGGUUCCCGUACGGUCAUCAAAGUUAAGCAACGCCGAGCCUGGUCAGUACCUAGAUGAGUGACUGCCUGGGAAUA